rnacentral:rRNA from 1 species
GAGUUUGAUCCUGGCUCAGGAUGAACGCUGGCGGCGUGCUUAACACAUGCAAGUCGAACGGGAAACUUUUCAUUGAAGCUUCGGCAGAUUUGGUCUGUUUCUAGUGGCGGACGGGUGAGUAACGCGUGGGUAACCUGCCUUAUACAGGGGGAUAACAGUUAGAAAUGACUGCUAAUACCGCAUAAGACCACGGCACCGCAUGGUGCAGGGGUAAAAACUCCGGUGGUAUGAGAUGGACCCGCGUCUGAUUAGGUAGUUGGUGGGGUAACGGCCUACCAAGCCGACGAUCAGUAGCCGACCUGAGAGGGUGACCGGCCACAUUGGGACUGAGACACGGCCCAAACUCCUACGGGAGGCAGCAGUGGGGAAUAUUGCACAAUGGGGGAAACCCUGAUGCAGCGACGCCGCGUGAGCGAUGAAGUAUUUCGGUAUGUAAAGCUCUAUCAGCAGGGAAGAAAAUGACGGUACCUGACUAAGAAGCCCCGGCUAACUACGUGCCAGCCGCCGCGGUAAUAC